UAAGACCAAAAUGCAACUAAGCUGUCAUAAGCCUAAGAUGUCCAUAAGACCACCUUUAAUAUGAUCUUAGCACUUUGAUUGACCUACUCCACGAAAGCCAAGGCACAAACUGGGAUUAGAUACCCCACUAUGCUUGGCCCUAAAUCUAGAUGUUUCUUAUACCAAAACAUCCGCCCGAGAACUACGAGCACAAACGCUUAAAACUCUAAGGACUUGGCGGUGCCCUAAACCCACCUAGAGGAGCCUGUUCUGUAAUCGAUAACCCACGUUAUACCCGACCGCUCCUUGCCAAAUACAGCCUACAUACCGCCGUCGCCAGCUCACCUCUUCUGAGAGUACAACAGUGAGCCCAAUAGCUCCAACCCGCUAACAAGACAGGUCGAGGUAUAGCCCAUGGAGGGGAAGAAAUGGGCUACAUUUUCUAAAAUAGAAUAUCCACGAAAAGGGGCUGUGAAAUCCCCCCUAGAAGGCGGAUUUAGCAGUAAAGCGAGACAAUGAAUGCCCGCUUUAAGUCGGCCCUAGGGCACGUACAUACCGCCCGUCACCCUCC
rnacentral:rRNA from 1 species